GGGUCAGUAGGUUGGUCGUGCCACCGGUACGUACUGGUCUCACUGAUCCCUCCUUCCUAAAGAACCGUAAUGCCAUUAAUUUGGUGUUGCGGGGAAACAGGACUGUUACUUUGAAAAAAUUAGAGUGUUUAAAGCAAGCUAACGCUUGAAUACAUUAGCAUGGAAUAAUGAAAUAGGACGAUCGAUCCUAUUUUGUUGGUUUCUAGGAUUGACGUA
rnacentral:rRNA from 1 species